GACGAACGCUGGCGGCGUGCUUAACACAUGCAAGUCGAACGAUGAAGCCAGCUUGCUGGUGGAUUAGUGGCGAACGGGUGAGUAACACGUGGGUGAUCUGCCCCAAACUUUGGGAUAAGCCUGGGAGACUGGGUCUAAUACCGAAUAUGACCGAUACUCGCAUGGGUGUUGGUGGAAAGCUCCGGCGGUUUGGGAUGGGCCCGCGGCCUAUCAGCUUGUUGGUGGGGUAAUGGCCUACCAAGGCGACGACGGGUAGCCGGCCUGAGAGGGCGACCGGCCACACUGGGACUGAGACACGGCCCAGACUCCUACGGGAGGCAGCAGUGGGGAAUAUUGCACAAUGGGCGCAAGCCUGAUGCAGCGACGCCGCGUGAGGGAUGACGGCCUUCGGGUUGUAAACCUCUUUCACCAGGGACGAAGCGAAAGUGACGGUACCUGGAGAAGAAGCACCGGCCAACUACGUG
rnacentral:rRNA from 1 species